GAUGAACGCUGGCUACAGGCUUAACACAUGCAAGUCGAGGGGAAACGACGGGGAAGCUUGCUUCCCCGGGCGUCGACCGGCGCACGGGUGAGUAACGCGUAUCCAACCUGCCUCUGACUGAGGGAUAACCCGUCGAAAGUCGGCCUAAUACCUCAUGGCAUCGUCUGCGGGCAUCCAACGACGAUUAAAGAUUUCAUCGGUCAGAGAUGGGGAUGCGUCUGAUUAGCUUGUUGGCGGGGUAACGGCCCACCAAGGCGACGAUCAGUAGGGGUUCUGAGAGGAAGGUCCCCCACAUUGGAACUGAGACACGGUCCAAACUCCUACGGGAGGCAGCAGUGAGGAAUAGUGGUCAAUGGGCGAGAGCCUGAACCAGCCAAGUAGCGUGCAGGAGGACGGCCCUAUGGGUUGUAAACUGCUUUUAUGCGGGGAUAAAGUGAGGGACGUGUCCUUCAUUGCAGGUACCGCAUGAAUAAGGACCGGCUAAUUCCGUG
rnacentral:rRNA from 1 species